UACGGGGGGGGUAAGCGUUGUUCGGAAUUACUGGGUUUAAAGGGUGCGUAGGCGGACAGGUAAGUCAGUGGUGAAAUCUCUGGGCUUAACCCAGAAACUGCCGUUGAUACUAUUUGUCUUGAAUAUCCUGGAGGUAGGCGGAAUAAUGUCAUGUAGCGGUGAAAUGCUUAGAUAUGACAUAGAACAUCGAUAGCGAAGGCAGCUUACUACAGGAUGAUUGACGCUGAGGCACGAAAGCGUGGGGAGCAAACAGGA
rnacentral:rRNA from 1 species